rnacentral:rRNA from 1 species
UACGUAGGGACCAAGCGUUGUUCGGAUUUACUGGGCGUAAAGGGCGCGUAGGCGGCAUGACAAGUCACUUGUGAAAUCUCUGGGCUUAACCCAGAACGGCCAAGUGAUACUGUCGCGCUAGAGUGCAGAAGGGGCAAUCGGAAUUCUCGGUGUAGCGGUGAAAUGCGUAGAUAUCGAGAGGAACACCAGAGGUGAAGACGGGUUGCUGGGCUGACACUGACGCUGAGGAGCGAAAGUGUGGGGAGCGAACAGG